rnacentral:rRNA from 1 species
AACGAACGCUGGCGGCAUGCCUAACACAUGCCAGUCGAACGAGACCUUCGGGUCUAGUGGCGCACGGGUGCGUAACGCGUGGGAAUCUGCCCUUGGGUUCGGAAUAACAGUUGGAAACGACUGCUAAUACCGGAUGAUGACGUAAGUCCAAAGAUUUAUCGCCCAGGGAUGAGCCCGCGUAGGAUUAGCUAGUUGGUGGGGUAAAAGCCUACCAAGGCGACGAUCCUUAGCUGGUCUGAGAGGAUGAUCAGCCACACUGGGACUGAGACACGGCCCAGACUCCUACGGGAGGCAGCAGUGGGGAAUAUUGGACAAUGGGCGAAAGCCUGAUCCAGCAAUGCCGCGUGAGUGAUGAAGGCCUUAGGGUUGUAAAGCUCUUUUACCCGGGAUGAUAAUGACAGUACCGGGAGAAUAAGCCCCGGCUAACUCCGUG